rnacentral:rRNA from 1 species
UACGGAGGGUGCGAGCGUUGUCCGGAAUCACUGGGCGUAAAGGGCGCGUAGGCGGCCUGAUAAGUAGGGGGUGAAAUCUUGCGGCUUAACCGCAAGGCUGCCUUCUAAACUGUCAGGCUAGAGCACAGUAGAGGCAGGUGGAAUUCCCGGUGUAGCGGUGGAAUGCGUAGAGAUCGGGAAGAACAUCAGUGGCGAAGGCGGCCUGCUGGGCCGAUACUGACGCUGAUGCGCGAAAGCCAGGGGAGCGAACGGG